GGUCAAGCUACAAAGAGCUAACGGUGGAUACU
rnacentral:rRNA from 2 species